rnacentral:rRNA from 1 species
AGUGAACGCUGGCGGCAGGCCUAACACAUGCAAGUCGAGCGGCAGCGGGUCCUUCGGGAUGCCGGCGAGCGGCGGACGGGUGAGGAAUGCGUCGGAAUCUGCCUUUUUGUGGGGGAUAACGUAGGGAAACUUACGCUAAUACCGCAUACGACCUACGGGUGAAAGUGGGGGACCGCAAGGCCUCACGCAGAAAGAUGAGCCGACGUCGGAUUAGCUAGUUGGCGGGGUAAAGGCCCACCAAGGCGACGAUCCGUAGCUGGUCUGAGAGGAUGAUCAGCCACACUGGAACUGAGGCACGGGCCAGACUCCUACGAGAGGCAGCAGUGGGGAAUAUUGGACAAUGGGCGCAAGCCUGAUCCAGCCAUGCCGCGUGUGUGAAGAAGGCCUUCGGGUUGUAAAGCACUUUUGUCCGGAAAGAAAUCCUGUCGGCUAAUACCCGGCGGGGAUGACGGUACCGGAAGAAUAAGCACCGGCUAACUUCGUG